rnacentral:rRNA from 1 species
UACGUAGGGGGCAAGCGUUGUCCGGAAUCAUUGGGCGUAAAGAGCGUGUAGGCGGUCCGGUAAGUCGGUUGUGAAAGUCCAGGGCUCAACCCUGGGAUGCCGACCGAUACUGUCGGACUAGAGUUCGGAAGAGGCGAGUGGAAUUCCCGGUGUAGCGGUGAAAUGCGCAGAUAUCAGGAAGAACACCUAUGGCGAAGGCAGCUCUCUGGGACGGUACUGACGCUGAGACGCGAAAGCGUGGGGAGCGAACAGG